CCCAGUGGCAGGGCCCACAGGCCAUGAGACCUCUUUGCCUAGGGGCUUCUGGAGUUCCUGUGACGCCGCUGUGCAGCAGCUCAACUCACAUGAACCAUGUAGAGCUCCGAGAACAAAUUGACAACCUAGCUACAGAACUGUGCUGGGUCCAUGAGGCUCAGAAGGUGGCCCUGGAUCUAGAUCCGUGUUAAGGAGCUGCUUCAUGCAAGGUGAUGAGUUGUCUUGGUCAACAAUAUUUUACAAAAUGCACAGGAACAACUAAGGCAGUUAAAUCACAGUAUGGCCAAGGAAACAGCUCACAGGAGAGCCAUGCUGGAUUCGGGAGUUUACCCUCAUGGUUCUCCAAGCAAA
rnacentral:lncRNA from 1 species